rnacentral:lncRNA from 1 species
AGCAACAAGUACUGUCUGAAAGUAAGGAUGAAGGAGCUAGCAACAAGUACUGUCUGAAAGUAAGAAUGAAGGAAGGAAGGACUGGUAAAGGAAUGAAUGACCACUGGAAAAAUAAGAGGCCAGAGUACUACCACGGGCCAAGAUAACAAACUCUUCACAAACGAAUCUGCAGCUGCUGUUCUUACUUCAUGUUGGCUGUGGUUGGUUCACACCUCCAUGAGUAACCGUCACUCAUGGAAAAGGGUAGGUGGGCCGGCUCUUUUUUAUCCCUGAAGCUGUGGUCUGUCAAACCUAUGCCAUUGAAUCCCCCACUUACCUAAGGUUGAUGGAUGGCACAUUUAACGGAAGGAUAAAGGAACUCCACCCGAAUCUCAUUCACUUUCUCUCAUAACCUUAUGAAACAUUUGCUAUGCCAAGAUGGAGCAGGGCUGAGCUGUGUAUUCGGUGCCAAGAGGCAUUCGUGAGGGUCCUGUGCUAUGCACUGACUGCCACUUGAGGAAUGGAACAGGACUACGUAAUCAGUCAAGUUGGACUGGGUGUCUUCUGCACAGCUCCAUUCAAGGUUACAACAAAGCCAUAUAGGAUCUGGUAUUUGACCUCCUACGAUAACUCAAGAAACAUUUACCAGGUGCAACCAACAUUUAAUGAGUUCUUGCUGUUUGUCAAAAGCACUGUGAGAUCUUAAGAGCUAGAAAUAUGACUUGGCCUUGUUCUCAAGGUGCAGUAGGUGAGGCAGACAGGCCUGUGGAGGCGCCUGAAGAGGGAGCAGGGCAGCUACACUGGGAGGAAGGAUAGACAAUGAAGAGAACAUGCGAGUGAAAUGGAAGUGUGGAGGGGAGGAAAAGGUCGGAGAAGAAGCAGACAUGACCUUUCCUCUGGUACUGUGUCCCUAUGCUGGGAUCUCUGGCUCUCUGGUUACACUUGGCUGUCUGGCCAGUGAAAUACCAGGAUCUACUGUUUGCUUCCUGAUGUUGGGACCACAGUCCUGACCAUGCACAACUGUCUACAUGAGUGCUGGAGACUGAACUGAAGUCCUCAAGGGCACACAGUCUCCAGAGAGUACAGAAUCAUCUGUUUGGCUUUUAGGACAAUAAAAAGAAGAGGAGAGAAGAGAAGAGAAGAGAAGAGAAGAGAAGAGAAGAGAAGAGAAGAGAAGAGAAGAGAAGAGAAGAGAAGAGAAGAGAAGAGAGUUGCUAGUCUUUAAAAUACUAAGGAAACACUUCCAUGAUUCUGAUGAAUUUCUAACCUCUUUAAAAAUUACUCACUGGGUUAAUUUAUAACUCAGGCUUGAUGAUCUCCUUUAGGUGGUAAUUUUUUCAGAGGUUGAUUUUCAGGUUUGCAUUCCACAGUAGAGACCAGCAGUGUGGGAGAACAUGCUAAGGGCACCAUCAUGCUUAAAGCACUAGGCUUGUGAAGAAGAAAGAGAUCCUAUGUGGA